GAUGAACGCUAGCGGCAGGCCUAAUACAUGCAAGUCGAACGGUAGAUCGGGUAGCAAUACUUGAUUGAGAGUGACGUAAGGGUGCGUAACACGUAUGCAAUCUACCCUCAACAGGAGUAUAGCUCGGGGAAACUCGGAUUAACACUCCAUAACAUUACGAUGUGGCAUCACAUUGUGAUUAAAACUCCGGUGGUUGAGGAUGAGCAUGCGUCUGAUUAGUUAGUUGGAGGUGUAACGGACCCCCAAGACGAUGAUCAGUAGGGGAACUGAGAGGUUGAUCCCCCACACUGGCACUGAGAUACGGGCCAGACUCCUACGGGAGCAGCAGUAGGGAAUAUUGGUCAAUGGGUGAGAGCCUGAACCAGCCAUGCCGCGUGCAGGAAGACGGCCUUCUGGGUUGUAAACUGCUUUUAUCUGGGAUAAAAAGCCCAUGCGUGGGACAUUGAAGGUACCAGAUGAAUAAGCACCGGCUAACUACGUGCCAG
rnacentral:rRNA from 1 species